rnacentral:miRNA from 1 species
AAUGGUGCUUCUUGGAGUUGUA